rnacentral:lncRNA from 1 species
UUUUCUCCAGUUUUAGUGGACCAUAUUGAUCCGAAUGAACGCCGUGGAUCUAUAAAUGCACGCCCCGAAAUUACCGACCUCUCAUAAGCUAGCACAACAGAACUCACAUGCCCGUACAUUUUUAGCCUGCUGUGUGGAGCACUGAAGUGUAAGCUGCCCAUGCAACUUACAGGUCAAGUUUUCUGAAUUUGUGAGUUCCACGCUCACGCUGGUCAUGGCCAAGGCCCAGGUCGUCGCCCGGAUCGCCGUCGAGGUCGCGCCGUCCAUUAUCAGGCGCCGCCGGCGAGGGCUCCCGUUGACGGUGCUGGACACGAUAGCGGANNNNN